AAUGGACGAAAGUCUGACGGAGCAACGCCGCGUGUAUGAAGAAGGCCUUCGGGUUGUAAAAUACUGUUGUUAGGGAGGAACGGCUUAUGUGUGAAAAAUGCAUAAGAUUGACGGUACCUAACGAGGAAGCCCCGGCUAACUACGUGCCAGCAGCCGCGGUAAUACGUAGGGGGCAAGCGUUGUCCGGAAUCAUUGGGCGUAAAGGGCGCGUAGGCGGCUAUAUAAGUCUGAUGUGAAAGUGCGGAGCUUAACUCCGUAANGCAUUGGAAGCUGUAUGGCUUGAGGACAGGAGAGGAAAGUGGAAUUCCUAGUGUAGCGGUGAAAUGCGUAGAUAUUAGGAGGAACACCAGUGGCGAAGGCGACUUUCUGGACUGUAACUGACGCUGAGGCGCGAAAGCGUGGGGAGCGAA
rnacentral:rRNA from 1 species